GAUGAAGAACGUAGCAAAAUGCGAUAAGUAAUGUGAAUUGCAGAAUUCAGUGAAUCAUCGAAUCUUUGAACGCACAUUGCGCCCGCCAGUAUUCUGGCGGGCAUGCCUGUUCGAGCGUCAUUUCAACCCUCAAGCACAGCUUGGUGUUGGGACUCGCGUUAAUUCGCGUUCCCCAAAUUGAUUGGCGGUCACGUCGAGCUUCCAUAGCGUAGUAGUAAAACCCUCGUUACUGGUAAUCGUCGCGGCCACGCCGUUAAACCCCAACUUCUGAAUGUUGACCUCGGAUCAGGUAGGACUACCCGCUGAACUUAAGCAUAUCAAUAAGCGGAGGA
rnacentral:misc_RNA from 1 species